AGAGGAAGGCGGGGAGGGGAGGCCGGUCCCCCCCCCCCGAGCUCGCUCUAGCGGCGGGCGAGACGGGAGCCGCCGCGAGCCAAGGCAGCAGCCGCUGCUGCAGCCUCCGCCGCCGCUGGGAUGCUAGCUGGCUGGCAAGCGAGCGAGCGAGCGAGCCCGGAGGACGCCUGGGCUCCUCUCCUGCCUCCCUGCCUGCAGGCGAGCGAGCGAGCCAGCGAGCGACACUAGUGCUACAAUUCUGUCACUCUUUCCCUUACACCAGACAUGUCAAACUUGCGACGUCACGUGACAUCACGCAACGUAUCGGGACAGUUUUGCCAUUGCUGGAAAUGGGGUGGGCGCAGCUUCCAUGUGACACGUUCCACCCAUGGGCCGACAGUUUUACACCCCUGCCUUACACACUGUGAUGUAAGCUUUUCCCCUUUUGUGUAUGCAUUCUGACAUUGCAUGAAAUCAGCAGAGCUUUCUUCGGGAUGACACAAUGCUACGUUCAUCAUUUUGUCAAAAGGAACCAGAACCAGAACAAUAUGAUGAUGGCUCUUGUCAAUGAUUGACUUUUCAGUCCAUUAGAAGAUGUGAGCGUUCAGCAUCAACACUUUGUGAUUACAACUGAAGACAAUGCUUUUGACCUGUCUUUUUCCCGCCUUCUUAAACAACCUGCAUCUACUUUGAACCCCCCAAAAAAUCUUCAUUUGCAUCACUACAAUGUUCCUACUAUGACGACACCUGUUCAGCAUCACGGCUGCAACACAGUCUCUCUAUAGUAUUAUGCUCCUGCCAUGGUGAAAUUCCCAGCAGUCUACAGUGGAAUGUGUGGACAACCUUGGGGGACCGGGAGCAGAGAUGCUACCUUGGAAACCAUCAGACAGAAGAAACAGGAUCCCCCCAAAGAUUAACAGUCAAAGGAAGAAAGUUAGGAAGGAUCUGCCCUAAUGGAUCAAACAGCUCUAUGUGGCGUGGGAAGUUUAUAUUUUGAGAUUUGCAAGCUUCUGUUAAUGUAGCUUUACAAUAAAGUAAAACCAGCCAAUCUA